CGAAGAGCUGGCGGGGCGGGUGCACCCGGGAGCGCGAAGCUGCCAGUCCCCGCCCGCAGCGGAAAACGGGCGAGCGCGCGGUGAGGUGGGGAAUUCGGAGCCCACUGCGGAGAGACCCGGCUCCGGGCUCCCGGUUCCCGGCUGGCUUUUGGGACUGGUGUGGAUGGAAUCCCAGCUGCAAGGCGGCGGCGUUUUGAGAGCCCAUGCAAAGCACGGUAGCAGGACCAGGAACCAGAAGAGGACCCACCCUCCUAGCCCUGCUGGGGUGCCGCCACGGACACAGGUUGCUCCAUGCCUUCCCGAAUGAGGAAGGUCCACAGCUUUGGGUUGGUCAGGGCCAAGGCAGGGGAUAAAAGACGUGGGAAGUUCAAUAAGCAGGAAGCAGUCAGCCUAAAGGAACACAUGGAAU
rnacentral:lncRNA from 1 species